UACGUAGGGGGCAAGCGUUGUCCGGAAUCAUUGGGCGUAAAGGGCGCGUAGGCGGAUAUUUAAGUCUGGUGUGAAAACCUAGGGCUCAACCCUGGGACUGCAUCGGAAACUGGGUAUCUUGAGGACAGGAGAGGAAAGUGGAAUUCCACGUGUAGCGGUGAAAUGCGUAGAUAUGUCACAGAACACCGAUCGCGAAGGCAGCUAACGAAGCUAGUACUGACACUGAUGCACGAAAGCGUGGGGAGCAAACAGG
rnacentral:rRNA from 1 species